UACGAAGGGGGCUAGCGUUGCUCGGAAUCACUGGGCGUAAAGGGCGCGUAGGCGGCGUUUUAAGUCGGGGGUGAAAGCCUGUGGCUCAACCACAGAAUGGCCUUCGAUACUGGGACGCUUGAGUAUGGUAGAGGUUGGUGGAAACUGCGAGUGUAGAGGUGAAAAUUCGUAGAUAUUCGCAAGAACACCGGUGGCGAAGGCGGCCAAACUGGACCAUUACUGACGCUGAGGCGCGAAAGCGUGGGGGAGCAAAACAGG
rnacentral:rRNA from 1 species